AGGAAUUCUAGUUUCCGCUGGGGGAUUGGGGGCGCUGGUGCCCGGUUGCAGCUGCGUUAAAGACGCCGGCGCCGCUGCCCCGGACCGACGGAGCGCGCCUCCCGGGCCUGCGGGUUUCCGCCCCGCGUUCGCCCCGCCCCGCGGAGACCUUGCGGGGCUGUGGAGGGGGCGGGGUCACACCUCCGGCUCUUUCUCCCGCGAAGCCGUUUUCUGCAAACCACCCCGAGCGCGCCGGUGCCCGCCCAACCGCCGCCGAGGGAGUGCCCGCCCGCGCGCGCGCUCAGCCAGCCAGGCGGCUCCGGCUUGGGCUGCCGCCCCCAGCGGCUCGGCGCGGCAUCGCUGGCUCUGGCCGCCUGUCGUGCCCGCUGCUCGCUGCCUGCCUGCCUGCCGGCCUGCCUCCCUUCCCCGGCGGCGGCGGCGGCUGGCGGCGCCCGCGCUGCGUCGCUGCUCUCCUCCGCCAUGGCGGCGCUCCACGGCGCGGCCACCAAGACCGGCGCCCCGCCGCAGAUCCCCGACACCCGCCGCGAGCUCGCCGACCUGGUCAAGCGCAAGCAGGAGCUGGCGGAGACGCUGGCCAACCUGGAGCGGCAGAUCUACGCCUUCGAGGGCAGCUACCUGGAGGACACGCAGAUGUACGGGAACAUCAUCCGAGGCUGGGACCGCUACCUGACCAACCAGAAGAACUCCAACAGCAAGAAUGACAGACGGAACCGAAAGUUCAAAGAAGCAGAGCGUCUUUUCAGCAAGUCUUCAGUCACCUCGGCUGCUGCGGUCAGCGCAUUGGCUGGAGUUCAGGACCAGCUCAUUGAAAAACGGGAGCCUGGCAGUGGGACCGAGAGUGACACUUCCCCAGAUUUCCACAACCAGGAGAACGAGCCAAGCCAGGAGGCAGCAGAGGAGCUGGAGGGCUCUGUUCAAGGGGUGAAGCCCCAGAAAGCAUCUGCCUCGGGCAGCCACCACAGCAGCCACAAAAAACGGAAGAACAAAAACCGGCACAGGUAUGUAUAUUAGGUUAGGCUGGCAAGUUUUUUAAAAACCAGACAAAAGCGCAAUGGAGGAUUGAUCUCAAAUUGAACAAAAAACCCCGAGCAGACUACUAGGCUCCUCCAUGCUGAUUCUUCCAAGAGCCUGCCCUCCACAUCCCAGUCCACAACAGGAAACUGAAUAAGCACAAUGCCACCUCCUUCCCAGACCGCACGGCUGUCAUUGCUCAGCCCAGAUCUGAUGGUGACAAUCCAUGGCGGCAGCAAACACUCCUGGUUGGAAACAGGCGCUUUCCUUGGAUUGGCGCAGUUUUGCUGCUGCUGUUUCAUCGUGUGUAAAAUAAUCAUUGAGAGAUGCCCUUCUUGAGUUUUCUUCCUAGUUCUUCUGCUGCCGCCUCCUUCUGCUUGAUUUUUUUUUUGUCUCACAAUGUUGCAUUUAAAACAAAUAAUAAACCUUGGUAUUUAACAUUUCCAUCAAAAAAACCAGCCAGACUGUGCAGCCUACUUGUCUAUUUUGGGUUCCCCUUCUUUUGGAUCCUAGCCAGGGUGAUGCUGGAUGAGCCGCUGCAAGGGGAGCCGAGAGGGAAGAUGGCUUGAUUUCAUUCUCCGGAAGAUUCCGGAAGCAACUUGUGGAAAGGGGGGGCAGAGUCUCUUUUUUAAUACUCAUGUCUGUUGUUUGUAAAUAAAGCAAUCAAACCUC